GGUCUAGCCUGCCCAAUGAGUAAUUAAAUGGCCGCAGUAUUUUGACUGUGCAAAGGUAGCAUAAUUAUUAGUUUUUUAAUUGAAAGCUUGUAUGAAAGGCUGAACGAGAUAAAAUCUGUCUUUAUUUAAAUAAAAUUAGAAUUUAACUUUUAAGUAAAAAGGCUUAAAUUUUUAUGAAAGACGAGAAGACCCUAUAGAUCUUUAUUUAAUUGAUAUUUUAAUAAUUUAGGUUUAUUUUAAUUUAAAAUUUUAAUUAAAUUUUAUUGGGGUAAUAUAAAGAUUAAAUUAAUUCUUUUUAUUAAUAACAUUGAUUUAUGAAUAUAUGAUCCAUUGAUUUUGAUUAUAAGAUUAAGUUACCUUAGGGAUAACAGCGUAAUUUUUUUGGGGAGUUCUUAUCGAUAAAAAAGUUUGCGACCUCGAUGUUGGAUUAAAAAUUAAUUUGGGUGCAGAAGCUCAAAGAUUUGGUCUGUUCGACCA
rnacentral:rRNA from 1 species